rnacentral:lncRNA from 1 species
UUUCAAACUAUUAGAAGUGACAAUGCUUUGGAAUUAGGGUCUAGCAUUGAUGGUGCAUCUUUCUUUAGCGAACAAGGCAUUAUUUAUCAAACAACUUGUCUCCAUACUCCUCAACAGAAUGGUGUUGUUGAAAGGAAACAUAGGACUCUUCUUGAGACCUGUAGAGCCUUACUCUUCCAAUAUGGUUUACCCCUCUCUUUCUGGGGAGACUGUUUGUUGACUGCUACAUACCUUAUUAACAGGAUACCCUCCAGGCUCCUUCAGGGCAAAUCCCCUUAUGAAAUUUUGCAUGGCAAGGCCCCCGCUUACUCUCAUUUAAGGGUAUUUGGUUUUCUUGCUUAUGCUUCUGUUCCAAUCCCACUAGGGAUAAGCUGAAACCUAGAGCAAUUUUCUGUGUUUUUCUAGGAUAUCCUUAUGCCAAAAAGGGUUACAAGUUGUAUGAUCUCAGUUCAAAAAAAUGUUUUGUGUCCAGGGAUGUUGUAUUUCAUGAGACUUCAUUUCCAUUUAAAACUGCCUCUAACCCUUCCAUCUCUUCCUCUUCCUUUCCUUUUGUUUCUUCUCCUAAGCAGUCCUUUUCUGACACUAACCUGUCUGUUCCUAUUUCUGCCUUUCCCUCUUCCCCUUCUGCUACUCCUCCUUCCUCUUCCAGUCCUGUUACGAAAUCCCCAUGCAGUGAUUUUCCUUAAUUUAUAAGAUUUGACGAAAUACUGACUUAAAUUAAUAAGUGAAGCAAGUAAAAAUCUUUAUAACCAUUUCCUCUGUUCCUCCAUCACUGCCCCCUCAUCCCACUCUUCCUGCUUCCAGCCCUCCUUUAAUUCUGAUAUUCCUCCUCCUGCUUUACCUCCUUUCAC